rnacentral:rRNA from 2 species
CGCCUCCCAAAGUGUAACGGAGGCGCGCGAUGGUGGGCUCAGGCCGGUCGGACAUCGGCUGUUGAGUGCAAAGGCACAAGCCCGCCUGACUGUGAGCGCGACAGCGCGAACAGAGACGAAAGUCGGCCUUAGUGAUCCGGUGGUCCCGCGUGGAAGGGCCAUCGCUCAACGGAUAAAAGGUACUCUAGGGAUAACAGGCUGAUCUCCCCCAAGAGUCCACAUCGACGGGGAGGUUUGGCACCUCGAUGUCGGCUCAUCGCAUCCCGGGGCUGGAGCAGGUCCCAAGGGUUCGGCUGUUCGCCGAUUAAAGCGGUACGUGAGCUGGGUUUAGAACGUCGUGAGACAGUUCGGUCCCUAUCUGCCGUGGGUGUAGGAGACUUGCGAGGAUCUGUCCCUAGUACGAGAGGACCGGGAUGGACGCACCUCUGGUGCACCAGUUGUCACGCCAGUGGCACAGCUGGGUAGCCAAGUGCGGACGGGAUAACUGCUGAAGGCAUCUAAGCAGGAAACCCCCCUCCAAACGAGGUCUCCCUCGAGGGCCGUGCCAGACCAGCACGUCAAUAGGACGCAGGUGGAAGCGGGGUAACCCGUGCAGCCGAGCGUUACUAAUCGCCCGAUAGAACU